CUCUUUCUUUUGUAAAUUGCCGGAUCUUGGGUAUAUCUUUAUCAGCAGUGUUAAAACAGUUUUCCUGGCUCAAGCCCAGCAGCCUUGAAUUCCUGGGCUCAAGCCUUGAACUACAGCAGCCUUGAAUUCCUGGGCUCAGGCCCAGGGGUUCAAUAUUAUUAUUACUAUUAUUAUUAAUUUUAUUAUUAUUAUUCAUCAACUAUAUUAAAUUGAGUUAAAUUUGGUAACUUUUAAAAUUUUUUCUUGGACAAGUAAUUUUUCUUAAUAAAGUUUUAUUAAAGUUUCAAAUCUUGGGAUGAAUUAAAGAUAUUAUUUGUAUUAGUCAGGCUAAUUAACUGCAGCAAGCAACACCAGAAGCAACGCCAGAGGCGUAAAUCAAUGCAAGUAUAUUUUACAUACAUUUCAAUGUUCAGUGAAGAAGUUCUAUGAGCAGCAUUCCAUACAAAGGUCUCAGGACCCAGGUUCCUUCCGUCUGUGGCUCUGCCAUACCCAGCCUUCAAACCUUCCACUGGCAUUUCCUCAUCUGUCCCGUCAGGAUGCCAAGAGAAAGAGCAAGGUAAGAAUCUCCAUGGAGAUUUGGGGGGCCAGGCCCAGAAGUGGAAGACAACACUUUUAUUCACAUUCCGUUGAUGAGAGCUUGUCAUAUGGCUCAAACUUAACUGCCAGGGAGGCCAGGAAUGGCCAGGAGGAGGGGUCAGGACUGGCAAGCAUUUCCUCAGUCUCUGCCGCACCAUUCUUGUUCUGCGUGGAGCAUGGUGACUUCCAGGUAUCUGCCUCCUAAGCAAGUUUGAUUAUGGCCUUUUAGGAACUUGGGGUUUAUAGAAAGUGAUGAAUAAACCUCAACAGAUAGGGAAGACCAAAAGGUUUCUGACCCUGUCAGAGCAAAUGAACACGAAACUCUGCCAGAGCAGUUCUAACCUCCUCCCCUGCCCGCAUGUGCCUUCACGUUUUUCCGCAUUCCUAGGAGUACAAUAUUUGGGCCCAAUUCCAGCCAUAACACCAACUCAAACUUUGCAAUGUUCAGCAGCAACUUGAGACUCUGAAUUUCAAGGCCUAUUUUCUUGCUAAGACAAAUGGAUUUUGAGAGCCACGGGUUUUAGUUUUUACUGGUGGUUUCUCCCUUUUAACUCUUCUUACACUUCACUUAUUUUUGUUGAGCUGUACAUGAUCUUGUCCAAUAUCAUGGGAAACAGCCCACAUAAAUCAAUUAUCAAUAGUUCAGCCAGGGUGGGAACAAAUUCAAACAGCCCAUUCUAAAGCAAUAUAUUUAAAUAUUUUCUAAUUCAUGGUAAAUUAAAUCCAAUGAGGAUAGCCUGCAUAUCCCAGUGAGGAAAUUUUUAUUUUCUCAUUUUCUUUCUUGGUUUAAUCUUACUCACUUUGGGCUUAUUCUGUGAUCUGCAUCUCAUAAUUGUUUCCCUCAAGUAAUCAAAAGAAAUAACAAGGCCAUAAAGAUGAGAAACAAAGAUAUAUGUCAGAACAGGGUGGUAUUUCAUGUAUAAAAUAAUAAGAUCCAAACCCCAGUUCCAUCCCAUGAACAAGUAUGGGACAUUGGGGCAACAUACAUGAAAUGAAUGUGUUGACUCCUACAAGGUUCUCAUUUGUUGAUUUGUUCAAUAACAAUUAAAUACCAAAUUACAGGCAGCUAGACAAAACAAAGAACAGAACGCAGUUGAAAAGAGAAGAUGUACAAUUAUAUAGCAACCUUAAUAGAACAACUAUGUAACAACCUUCAUGUAGUCUUCAAUUUGAAGUAAUAUGACAAAUACAGACCACAGUUCGAAAUAUCACCUCGGAAAGACAGAUUGCUGUGGAAUGGGUUGAGAGCAGGAAGUCUUCAGGAAAUUAAAGGAAAGACAUCAUGUGGAGUAGGGAAGAGGAGGUUCUACAGGGAGGGCAGAGGAUAAGCAGACACAAAUAUGGGAAUAUACAGGAAAAGAAGAGAGCACACUGAAAACUGUGUGACUGAAGUCAGGCAUGUAUAAUGGGCUGCUCUGUGAAAGAAAGUUGAAAAAUAUGGUCCAUGGAGCAAGGCUCAUCGUUACUAGGCUGAGCCCAGACUUGAAGUAAUCAGAAAUAAGGAAAUAGUAUAGGGCCUUAAUCAGGGGAGAGAGAUGAUGAAAGCAGUGAUGAAUCUGGCUGCAGGCAGGAGGAUAGAUUAAAAGUGAGAAGACCAGUAAAGAGGCUGUUGCAAAAAUUUAUACGAGACUUGAUAGGGACUUGGCUCUGAGAGGUGACAGCUGACACGAAGACCCAGGGACAAAUCCAAGAGUCUCUGUGGAGAAAGGAAAGAUGCUUGUAAAUAAAGGAGUAAAGGAGAGGAAAGAGGGCAUGAAAAUCCUGGGGAUGAGAACACGGGUGGUGGCAUUGAAGACAAGAGGAAUUUAUCAAGUAGAGGAUGCAUUUUUUUCAGAUUAAAUUUUGUAACGUAUAUUUAUGAGUUAGUCAUCCAUGGAAUAUUUCUUUUUAACUUCUAAUUCUAAGACACAUGGUUAAAAUUAAGGUUAAUAUUCUUGUUGGCUUAAGUUUUAUAUAACUUUGAAAUUUACAAGGUUGGGGGGAUUGAGAAUACAUAUCAAGAUAUUAUAUGUUGCCAGGUCAUGUUUUAAUCUUUAGCAGAAUAGCAGAACAGUGCUACAUGUAAUCAAAACAUAUUUUACUAGGAGAAGCAAUCAGAGCUCAAGACAAAAAUGGUUCUUGGAUAAGGAUAGCUGGUAUAAGACAGCUAAUUGAUCUUUUAAGGAUCAUGUGAAUUUGUACCUGACGUUUUCUCUUCUUUUUUAUAGUUACUUCAGUAACAAACAGAAAGCGGCCCAACCGAUGCCAAAAUCCAAAGAAAAAUAGACACUCGACCCAGAAUAAGCUGAGAUGUUGCCCUACAAUGAAGUUUUGGUCAAUGGAUUAUAAGAGGAAGUCGUGUGUGCAAUUUCAGGGAGUAUGCCCUGUUACUGUUCCUUUCUCCUUUCCUGCUCGCUGAAAUCUAAGCGUGAUGGCACAGGCUACAGAAGCCAUCUCAGACCACAAAGUGAAAGCCACAUGCUGAGGAUGAACCAUGCCCUGGACCACUGCCUUCUUCAGACUUCCUGAGACCAACAUCACAGAUCACUGUUUGACCCUAUUCUGCCCUGACAUCAUUUCUUCAUCAAAGAACACCUGUGCUUUUGUGAUAUGUUUAUGUUCUAAUCUGGUCCUCAAAUUUUCGGGACCACAAGAUGCAUUUUAUCUGUUUACUCUGUAUGAUCCAAUGGUUAUAAAUUGAUUCGCACUAAUUAAACCCACAAAAGGCUGAUUCACAAACUGAGAGAACAAUGUGUUAAAUUACAGAGAAAGAUUAAACUGGGGUGAGAAGCAAGGACAUGCAUUUGAAAGGCCACUGUAUUUGGGGUGAGUCCACCCUAGAAGCCAACAGCAAAGCCAAGCAUGACCUUGUCAACACAGAAUCCAUGCAAAGAUGUUUGUAUGUUGUCAUGUGAUAUUUCUAGAAAGUUCUGGUAGACUGAGAAUUUGCCUUUCAUGAUGGUUAUGCUUGAAAAACCAAGUCCAGUAUUUAGAAGGAGAUAGUCUUCUCCCUGGAGGGGGCCAGGGUGACAUUGAUAAAUUCUUACAACUCAACCCUCAUUUUUCCCAUUGUCAAAGAAAGAUAUUCUCAUUCUGUUUGUACUUGUCGUUAUGCUUAGAUUAUCAAACUUACAGGUAACUUUUAUCAAUUAUACUUUGAUGGGUAAUUUAGAUUGUGUCAAAUAAGUCUAAGCAUCAUAGCACAGCACCUAAGGGCUAGAAAAACAUUGGUAAUCAUCUUGUUCAGUGGUUUUCAAAUUGCAUCUCAUGGACCCAACAGGCUGCUGGAUUAGGUAGCUAGAGGUGUGAGGAGGAAGCUGAGUAAGCAGGCUGUGGCCGGCCAUCAUUCCCUUUUAAGGAGCUUGAAUUAUUCAAAGUGCAGUAGCCAUUGAUACAUUUUAGUAUAGAGUGACACAAUGAAGUUUACCUUUUAAAGAAUCAAUUUGAGUGAAGUGAUUGGAGAAGGCAAGAGUAGAAGACCACCAAGGAAGUUAUAUAGCAUUUGUCUAGAGCAGCCAUGGUGGUGUUGGGGACCAGGGUAAUAGCAAUAGAGUUAGAGAGAAGUGGAUGGAUUUCAGAUGUAAUUUAAAGUUACAAUUUGAUAGGACUUGGCUAAUGAGGAAGCAGAAAUUAUCUAGAAUUCACUCAUGUAUCCCAACUGGAAAAUGUAUUGAGUACUAACAAUG